AGCGCGCCGGCGCCGGCGCCGGCCGUCCAGCCAGACUCCGGCUUCCGCGAGGUUGUGGUGGUUGCUUAGGUGCUUCACACCGCGGUGUUGUGCGGCUCGCGGUCUUCUCCAGACUUUCUGGGCCCGGUCUGCGACUUCAGGAUGUAUCACAACAGUAGCCAGAAGCGGCACUGGACUUUCGGCAGCGAGGAGCAGCUGGCGCGACUGCGGGCAGACGCCAACCGCAAAUUCAGAUGCAAAGUAGUGGCGAACGGGAAGGUUCUUCCAAAUGACCCAGUCUUUCUUGAGCCCAAUGAAGAAAUGACGCUCUGCAAAUACUACGAGAAAAGAUUGUUGGAAUUCUGUUCGGUGUUUAGACCAGCAAUGCCAAGGUCUGUUGUGGGUACGGCUUGUAUGUAUUUCAAGCGUUUUUAUCUUAAUAACUCCAUAAUGGAAUAUCACCCCCGGAUAAUAAUGCUCACUUGUGCAUUUUUGGCCUGCAAAGUAGAUGAAUUCAAUGUUUCUAGUCCACAGUUUGUUGGAAAUCUGCGGGAGAGUCCUCUUGGACAAGAGAAGGCACUCGAGCAGAUUUUGGAAUAUGAACUACUUCUUAUACAGCAACUUAAUUUCCACCUUAUUGUCCAUAAUCCUUAUAGACCCUUUGAAGGCUUUCUCAUUGAUUUAAAGACUCGCUAUCCCAUGUUGGAGAAUCCAGAGGUUUUGAGGAAAACCACUGAUGACUUCCUUAAUAGAGUUGCAUUGACGGAUGCUCCCCUUUUAUACACACCUUCUCAGAUUGCCCUGACUGCCAUUCUGUCUAGUGCAUCCAGAGCUGGAAUUAGUAUGGAAAGUUAUUUAUCAGAAAGUCUGAUGCUGAAGGAGAACAGAAUUUCCUUGUCACAGUUACUAGACAUAAUGAAAAGCAUGAGAAACUUGGUGAAAAAGUACGAACCACCGAGAUCUGAGGAAGUCGCUGUUCUGAAACAGAAGUUGGAGAGGUGUCACUCUGCUGAGCUUGCACUUAACGUAAUUACGAAGAAGAGGAAAGGUUAUGAAGAUGAUGAUUAUGUCUCAAAGAAAUCCAGACAUGAGGAGGUAUGUUCUCCAAAGGAGGAAUGGACUGAUGAUGACCUGGUAGAUUCUCUCUAAACCAUUUGAAAUUGAUUUGUCAGUGCUAAAACUAAUCAACAGAAGGAUGAAGCAUAUCUGGCCAUUUAACUUUAUUUAAAAAUGAAAUAAUGUAAAAGCAUCAAAAUAUAUUAAGCUUUUCUGUUUGUUAUUUAAAUUUUUUUCCUUUCAGAGUAGUUUUAUCGAAACUAAACAUCUUCAAAAGAGCCAGAAUAAGUACCUGGUUUUGGGCAAUCUUGCCCCCACCAUGACUAAUAUCAAAUCAUUUUCUAUAGUAGCCAAAUUUAAAAUAUAGAACCUAUAUUUUAAACAAAAUGUAAUAAGCAAACGUACCAAAAGUUUUGUCUUUGUGGUACCCUUUUUAUUAAAGGGUAAGUCAGUUUUAAAAGUGCUAAGGAAUAUUGGCUAUUACAUUUGUUAAAUUAUUUAACUGUGAUGUUAGUUUCUAAGUUGGAACCAAAUUAUGGAUGUCUGUCAAGUUUUUUUUUUUUCUUGGAAAAUGGGUUUGAAGGAGUUCUGAGAAAAUUGCUCUGAAAUGAAGUUUUAUAGAUACACACAUACCUCUCCUCAUUGUCAGUGUAUCCCAGGCUGUACUUUUCCACAAAGUAUAGGUACCAUUUAGUUACAUCUUAGUAUUUGAGAGUAAUAUUUACUAUGUUCAUAUUGUUCUCUAAUAAUUCUUUAUAUUUAUAUUUAUAUUUUAGGCUUGAGUUUUGGGGUUUUAGUUUCCUUCUCAUUGUGGAAUGAGAGGACUAGAAUUCAGAAGAGGAGUGGAAGAAGCCAAAGUUGACAAUCCUCCAGGGCAACCCAGGUUAAGUAGCACUGUUGCCAGCCUCUAGACAGAAUUGCCAACUGUUCACAAUUUCUCGUUUCUCUUUUAGGUCACUAAAGUUUGGCAUCAGAGCAAGGUCCACACUUUUGGCAGAAAAUUUUCCUCCCCAGCCCCUUUAAAAAUUUCAUCACUGACCAGCUAGUUAACCCAAGACCAACAAAGGUAAAAUGACAAAUUUCCUAUUCCAGUUUAAGUGAUGAGCAUGUCAGGAAUUUAUAAAAAGCAGGAUGACUUUAGGUUUACAGAGGCAUUUACUAGAAUCUGGAGACAAAUGUCACAUACCUAUGGUGGACGUCUAGCUGCAGAGCAGGAGGGAUGGAAAAGGAACACAGGGUGUGCUGAGCAUCUGCUCACUCGUCAGGUGGGAUCGCAGCUACUCCAGGGCUAGCUUACCGCCAUACACCUUAAUAGCUCAAAAUUACACUACACAGAAAUCUACUGAACCCUCAAUUAGUUAACACUUUAUACUACCCCUUUUUUAAAUUUUGUUUUUACCUGUAUUUUAAAGUGUUACUCUUGGAACCUGGAUAUUUAGAAAGUAUAAAUGCUUUCCCUAAUACAUCCCCGUCUCGAACCACUUUGGUGUGCCUUCCCCCCACCCCCGCACAAUUAUGGGAGGGAAAGAAUUAUUACCCCUACCAAAUACACAACUUCUCAAGAGACCAUUGGCCAGAAAGAAAAAUCUGGCAUUUCAUCUUCUCCCUGGACCUUGCUCUGGUACUAAAUUUGAACUGUUCCUAAAGGAGGAAGAAAAUAAUAAUAAAUGUUUAGCUGUAUUUAGACAGAAGUAAUCAAUUAUUCAAGAUAUCCCUCAGUUUUAUUUUAACUUACCCCUGUGAAUACUUCACAAAAAUACACAUAUAGAAGCAAAUGAAACUAUACAGUCAAAACUAAAUAUCCAGCAGAUACAACAAGUAGUCAGAAGGUCAAAGAUGGAAAGCUGUUAAGUAGAUGAUGAGGUUUUUGCAUAAUUUAAAAAAUCAACUUGGAAUUAAGAAACAUACUUUCAACAAAAGCAUUCUACGGGUGUUUUCUAUAAAACGGCUGAAUGGGUAACAUGCACUUAUCAGUACAUAGUGACCAAUAAUACUUAUUGAACUCAAACUAUUUACUGUUGUAAACAUUUAUCAAAAGCAUUAUGAGAUCUAAAUACAGUCUUUGACAAUUCCAACAAACAAAAUAAGUGGUAUGUUUAAAAAAUAAAGCUGAUGAGCAAUAGAUCGAUUCUAUAUAUUUUCUUUCAACAGUUCCAGCAAAGAGAAAUAGCACAGUUAUUUUUUUUAAAAAAAAAGUAUACAGCAAAGAUUGUUCCUAUUAUAAUGGCAAACUCUGGAAACUGUAAAUACAAAUAAAGUCAUUGAACAGUCAAACGGUCAUAGUCCUAAUUCAGGAAGAAGUUAUAAUAAGAACAGUCUGCAAUCCAGUUAUACUUAACAGAAUGCUUUUUCUUAGUUGAUAGGUCUUUUUCCAAGAGACAGCAAAACUUUGGCAAUUCGAUGUACUGAAAAUAUAUUUUCAAAGUUCAAGAUACAGUCAGCAUUGUGUGAAAGGUGAUCUGUACACCAAGGCUCAGAGCUCACACAUCACUGGAAUGUGGAAAGGUGUGCUAUUUUUGGCAAGAGCAAAGGAGACAUUAUACGGAUGUGAAUUACCAUGUUGGACAUGCUGAAUCCAUGCAGAAUGCUGAGGCGAAGGCUGCUACCUGACAUCAUUAGUUUUUGUAUACUGGUUUUGUUUCUGUUGAAGCAGUUCUGUUAUAGCCAGAAGUUUUUUCAGUACAUGCUAGACAAGGAAAAACAGUAUGAAAAUAGUAAAUAAAUGAAAGCUUGGUCAGAAAUCUCAGGGAUGGGAACCUGGAUUUGAAAAAAGCCGUAUGAACUCAAAGGAAUUCAUAAAAUACUAGCAUUCUACUCUAA